AGCUUGGGAGGAGCUGCAACAGAAGAGGAUGGGGAAUUAGUUGCUAAAUUAUUUGGAUCAGUUGGCAAGAUAUGGAGAGCUGGUGAGAAAUUGUUUGGUGCUAUCACUGGCCUCAGGAGUUAAUCCUUUCCAUUAUUGGUUGCCCUUUGCUUCUGUUUGACUGUGGCAUGGUCCAGCGUACAUAUAUUUAGCGAUUGAAGCUUUGGCUGAUGGAGGAGUUGCUGCUGGUCUUCCACGAGAACUAGCAUUGGGACUAGCUUCUCAGACUGUUAGGAGCAGCUUCUGUGGCCAUUAAAUCCGAGAAGCACGCUGGUCAGCUCAAAGAUGACGUUACAUCACCUGGUGGGACUACGAUUGCCGGCAUUCACGAGUUAGAGAAGAGUGGCUUUCGGGGGGGUGUUGAUGAAUACUGUUGUGGCUGCUGCUAAGCACAGCUAAGAACUUUCCAAGAGUCAAGUCCAUCCGAUUCAACAUUUUGAAAUCUUACAACAUAAUAGCUGGACGAUCAUUUUAUCUCCCUGAACAAUAAGAGCGAGUAAGCAGUUUUGCUUUGCAUUUGUUUCUUCUUCUUCUUCAUUUUUUUUUCUUUCUGUAUUUGCAGGGUUAACAGAUUUCUAUACAAUGCUUCUUUACGACAACCCGUGUUGAUCAGAUUUUAUUCCUACUGGCUACUGGUGAUGCAUGCAAUUGCUAUGUAUUUUCUGGUACACUAGAUACGGUUUACACGACUCUGGAUUCUAUGAGUUUUGGUGGUAGAAAAUUCUGUCUCUGGCUGUUUUCCUUUUCAGAGGAACAUGGAAAGAAAGUAGUUACUCCUUUUCUUCUAUACCUGGCCCCGAACAUAAAAAAUUCGCCCAACUCAUCUAAUUCAUAACCUGAUCCAACUUGAUUGACCAUAAAAUGCUAACGACUUGAAAUCGAUUAUUCAGAA